rnacentral:ncRNA from 1 species
AUGAUAGAGGCGCAGGCUUCAAGAGUACCAGAGCCGUUUGGCUGACCCGCUGUUUCUGGGAAAGGGGAGACUGCCGAAGGGAUCCAUGCCGGGUCAGGCUGGAUUUCCUGGGCCGACGCAGAAUAUGCGGCGGACUGUCACGUAACGUGGAGCGCUAUCUG